UACAGAGGGUGCGAGCGUUAAUCGGAAUUACUGGGCGUAAAGCGCGCGUAGACGGUUUUGUAAGUCAGAUGUGAAAUCCCUGGGCUCAACCUGGGAACUGCAUUUGAGACUGCAUGGCUAGAGUAUGGAAGAGGGAAGUGGAAUUUCCGGUGUAGCGGUGAAAUGCGUAGAUAUCGGAAGGAACACCAGUGGCGAAAGCGACUUCCUGGUCCAAUACUGACGUUCAUGUGCGAAAGCGUGGGGAGCAAACGGG
rnacentral:rRNA from 1 species